UACGUAGGGGGCGAGCGUUGUCCGGAAUCAUUGGGCGUAAAGCGCGUGUAGGCGGCUUGAUAAGUCUGGUGUGAAAUCUUGGGGCUCAACCCCAAGCCUGCACUGGAUACUGUCAAGCUUGAGUCCGGGAGGGGAGAGCGGAAUUCCUAGUGUAGCGGUGAAAUGCGCAGAUAUUAGGAAGAACACCCGUGGCGAAGGCGGUUCUCUGGGACGGUACUGACGCUGAGACGCGAAAGCGUGGGGAGCGAAGCAGG
rnacentral:rRNA from 1 species